rnacentral:rRNA from 1 species
AACUCCCAAACCCUAUGUGAACUUACCACUUGUUGCUUCGGCGCGCGCUUCGGCGCCGCCGAGGACACUUAAACUCUUUGUUUUUAUAAGCAUUUCUGAGUGGCCGAAAGGCAAAAAUACAAAUGAAUCAAAACUUUCAACAACGGAUCUCUUGGUUCUGGCAUCGAUGAAGAACGCAGCGAAAUGCGAUAAGUAAUGUGAAUUGCAGAAUUCAGUGAAUCAUCGAAUCUUUGAACGCACAUUGCGCCCGCCAGCAUUCUGGCGGGCAUGCCUGUUCGAGCGUCAUUUCAACCCUCGAGCCCGACUCUUUUGAGGACGGCUCGGCGUUGGGGGACGGCAGACUCCCCCCGGCAUCUCGCCGGGGACGCCGCCCCCGAAAUCUAGUGGCGGCCCUCCGAGGCGACCUCUGCGUAGUAACUUGUUCUCGCACCGGAAAGCUCAGAGCGGCCACGCCGUAAAACCCCAACUUUUUUCAGGUUGACCUCGAAUCAGGUAGGACUACCCGCUGAACUUAAGCAUAUCAAAACUCCCAAACCCUAUGUGAACUUAC